rnacentral:rRNA from 1 species
GACGAACCGUGCGAACGUUGUUCGGAAUCACUGGGCUUAAAGGGCGCGUAGGCGGGCGUGACAGUCAGGGGUGAAAGCCCACGGCUCAACCGUGGAAGUGCCUUUGAUACUUCACGUCUGGAGGGAGGUAGGGGCGUGCGGAACUUCCGGUGGAGCGGUGAAAUGCGUAGAUAUCGGAAGGAACACCGGUGGCGAAAGCGGCGCGCUGGACCUCUUCUGACGCUGAGGCGCGAAAGCCAGGGGAGCAAACGGG